rnacentral:rRNA from 1 species
UAGGGAAUCUUCCGCAAUGGACGAAAGUCUGACGGAGCAACGCCGCGUGAGUGAAGAAGGAUUUCGGUUCGUAAAACUCUGUUGUUAGGGAAGAAAAAAUGUAUAGUAACUAUAUACAAAAGAGACGGUACCUAACCAGAAAGCCACGGCUAACUACGUGCCAGCAGCCGCGGUAAUACGUAGGUGGCAAGCGUUGUCCGGAAUUAUUGGGCGUAAAGCGCGCGCAGGUGGUUUAGAAAGUCUGAUGUGAAAGCCCACGGCUCAACCGUGGAGGGUCAUUGGAAGCUAAUAGACUUGGGUGCAGGAGAGAAAAGUGGAAUUCCUAGUGUGGCGGUGAAAUGCGUAGAGAAUAGGAGGAACACCGAUGGCGAAAGCGGCUUUUUGGCCUGCAACUGACACUGAGGCGCGAAAGCGUGGGGAGCAAACAGG